rnacentral:rRNA from 1 species
UGAGGAAUAUUGGUCAAUGGGCGGAAGCCUGAACCAGCCAAGUCGCGUGAAGGAAGAAGGAUCUAUGGUUUGUAAACUUCUUUUGAAGGGGGAUAAAGUGCGUCACGAGUGGUGCAUUGCAGGUACCCUUGGAAUAAGCAUCGGCUAACUCCGUGCCAGCAGCCGCGGUAAUACGGAGGAUGCGAGCGUUAUCCGGAUUUAUUGGGUUUAAAGGGUGCGUAGGUGGCUUUUUAAGUCAGCGGUGAAAACUGGCGGCUCAACCGCAAGAGUGCCGUUGAAACUGGGGAGCUAGAGUAUGAACGAGGUAGGCGGAAUGUGUGGUGUAGCGGUGAAAUGCAUAGAUAUCACGCAGAACUCCGAUAGCGAAGGCAGCUUACCAGGCCAUAACAGACACUGAAGC